UACAGAGGGGGCAAGCGUUGUUCGGAUUUACUGGGCGUAAAGGGCGCGUAGGCGGUCAGCACAAGUCAGUUGUGAAAUCUCCGGGCUUAACUCGGAAAGGUCAACUGAUACUGUGCGACUAGAGUGCAGAAGGGGCAACUGGAAUUCUCGGUGUAGCGGUGAAAUGCGUAGAUAUCGAGAGGAACACCGGUGGCGAAGGCGGCGACCUGGUCCGAUACUGACGCUGAGGCGCGAAAGCGUGGGGAGCAAACAGG
rnacentral:rRNA from 1 species